rnacentral:rRNA from 1 species
GUCUCCUUUUUCCAGUCAAUGAAAUUAAUCUUCCCGUGCAGAAGCGAGAAUAUAAACAUAAGACGAGAAGACCCUAUGGAGCUUAAGACAUAAGACAGCCCAUGUAAAACACCUAGCUAAAUAGAAUUAACUAAAUGGUUACUGUCUUUCUGUCUUUGGUUGGGGCGACCGCGGGGAAACAAAUAUCCCCCAUGUGGAAUGGGCCCUCCCCCCAAAGCCAGAGCAACAGCUCUAGCUAACAGAACAUCUGACCUACAAGAUCCGGCAAAGCCGAUCAACGGACCGAGUUACCCUAGGGAUAACAGCGCAAUCCCCUUUUAGAGCCCAUAUCGACAAGGGGGUUUAC